rnacentral:rRNA from 1 species
UACGUAGGGUGCAAGCGUUGUCCGGAAUUAUUGGGCGUAAAGAGCUCGUAGGCGGUUUGUCGCGUCUGCUGUGAAAACUGGAGGCUCAACCUCCAGCCUGCAGUGGGUACGGGCAGACUAGAGUGCGGUAGGGGAGAUUGGAAUUCUCGGUGUAGCGGUGAAAUGCGUAGAUAUCGAGAGGAACACCUGCGGCGAAGGCGGGUUGCUGGGCUGACACUGACGCUGAGGCGCGAAAGCCAGGGGAGCGAACGGG